rnacentral:rRNA from 1 species
CCCUUAGACGUUCUGGGCCGCACGCGCGCUACACUGACCAGUGCAACAAGCAUCCGUCCUUGGCCGACAGGCCCGGGCAAUCUUUGAACGCUGGUCGUGAUGGGGAUAGACUUUUGCAAUUUUUGGUCUUCAACGAGGAAUUCCUAGUAAACGCAAGUCAUCAACUUGCAUUGAUUACGUCCCUGCCCUUUGUACACACCGCCCGUCGCACCUACCGAUUGAAUGACCCGGUGAAAUCUUCGGAUCGUCGUGUUGCCCGAUUCAUUUCGGGCGAUGUGACGCAAAGUUGAUUAAACCUUGCCAUUUAGAGGAAGGUGAAGUCGUAACA